GCCCGGGUGGCACAGCGGUUGAGCGUCUGCCUUCGGCUCAGGGCGUGAUCCUGGUGUUGUGGGAUCGAGCCCCACAUCGGGCU
rfam:Ailuropoda melanoleuca scaffold1151_66, whole genome shotgun sequence.